GCUCGCUUCGGCAGACAUAUACUAAAAUUGGAACGAUACAGAGAUUAGCAUGGCUUCUGCUCAAUGAUGACACAAGUCUGUUUUUAUUUUUUAUUUUAUUUU